AGUGAACGCUGGCGGUAGGCCUAACACAUGCAAGUCGAACGGCAGCACAGUAAAAGCUUGCUCUUACGGGUGGCGAGUGGCGGACGGGUGAGGAAUACAUCGGAAUCUACUUUUUCGUGGGGGAUAACGUAGGGAAACUUACGCUAAUACCGCAUACGACCUACGGGUGAAAGCAGGGGAUCUUCGGACCUUGCGCGAUUGAAUGAGCCGAUGUCGGAUUAGCUAGUUGGCGGGGUAAAGGCCCACCAAGGCGACGAUCCGUAGCUGGUCUGAGAGGAUGAUCAGCCACACUGGAACUGAGACACGGUCCAGACUCCUACGGGAGGCAGCAGUGGGGAAUAUUGGACAAUGGGCGCAAGCCUGAUCCAGCCAGACCGCGUGGGUGAAGAAGGCCUUCGGGUUGUAAAGCCGUUUUGUUGGGAAAGAAAAGCAGCAGGUUAAUACCCCGCUGUUCUGACGGUACCCAAAGAAUAAGCACCGGCUAACUUCGUG
rnacentral:rRNA from 1 species